GCUCUAUUAGCUCAGCUGGUUAGAGCGCCGUGCUUAUAGUGGUGUUCCCAUUAUGAUAGAGUCACGCGGAUGUCGCCAGUUCGAUCCUGGCAUAGAGCA